rnacentral:rRNA from 1 species
UUCGGGGAGAGCGGCGGACGGGUGAGUAACGCGUGGGAACGUGCCUUUCGCUACGGGAUAGCCCAGGGAAACUUGGAUUAAUACCGUAUACGCCCUUUGGGGGAAAGAAUUUCGGCGAAAGAUCGGCCCGCGUCUGAUUAGGUAGUUGGUGGGGUAAUGGCCUACCAAGCCGACGAUCAGUAGCUGGUUUGAGAGGAUGAUCAGCCACACUGGGACUGAGACACGGCCCAGACUCCUACGGGAGGCAGCAGUGGGGAAUCUUGGACAAUGGGGGCAACCCUGAUCCAGCCAUGCCGCGUGAACGAUGAAGGCCCUAGGGUUGUAAAGUUCUUUCAGCGAGGAAGAUAAUGACGGUACUCGCAGAAGAAGCCCCGGCUAACUCCGUGCCAGCAGCCGCGGUAAUACGGAGGGGGCUAGCGUUGUUCGGAAUUACUGGGCGUAAAGCGCACGUAGGCGGAUCAGUCAGUUAGGGGUGAAAUCCCGGGGCUCAACCCCGGAACUGCCUUUAAUACUGCUGAUCUGGAGGUCGAGAGAGGUGAGUGGAAUUCCGAGUGUAGAGGUGAAAUUCGUAGAUAUUCGGAGGAACACCAGUGGCGAAGGCGGCUCACUGGCUCGAUACUGACGCUGAGGUGCGAAAGCGUGGGGAGCAA